rnacentral:misc_RNA from 1 species
UUUUUUUAAAUUGAUUUUAUUGAAUUUUUUUUUUUUUUUUUUUUUUUUUUUUUUUUUUUUUUUUUUUUUUUUUUUUUUUUUUUUUUUUUUUUACACAAUACACACACGGUCGUCUGUUCCUAAAGUAAGCAACUUAAUGCUUGUGUUAUAGGUUACAGCCGACUGGUAUAUAGCUACAUUUUUUUUUUUUUUUUUUUUCGAUAAACAUACUUAUAAAUAAUACAUAUAUAAAUAUAUAAAUAAAUAUUUAUAUUACACCCAGACUCGGGGUGGGAAUCGAACCCACAACCCUCGG